AUUUUCGAGUGAUGCCUGAUCUCAUCAAUCUAGCGGGAGAGACAGGAUAACCUGUCCGAGAGUAUAGCGCCACUAUGACUCCGCCGGAAAAAUUACUUUAAAAAUCGCCAAAAAUUACUUGGAGCAAAGGGCAGUCGGCGGAGCUUCGCCAAGGCUGGCGCAGUCGUGUAUAAAGCCAAAUGUCCCAUUUAAAGUUUGACAUUUGCAAUAGCAUUCUAUUUAAAAGGUUUAAUAAUGAUAGAAUGAAGACCACAAUAAAAGAGACCUCUACUUAGCUCAGCAAUUCUUACCUUUCUUACCUAUUUGAUGAAGAUGUCUUUUGAAAGGUGUACUGCAAGGAACAAAAUGUUUGUAAAUUCUCCUUUUACCAAGGUGGAUAAUUACUGUACCUUCCUCAUGGAAAAAGUUUUAUUUAAAGUGUUAUUUCUCAUUGAAUACUAUCAAAAAGGAAAAAAAAAUGACCUAAACUUUUGAGAUAGAUUUGGCUCUAGUAAGUAUUUAGUUAUAUCACUUGCAUAUCUGGGAGAAGAAAUAAGAGACUAUCAUCAGUACAUUCCCAUCUACUAAAAAAAUUUAUUUUACACAUGUCAAGGGAUUACUUAUAACUUCCAUUUUAUUACUAAUAGCUUGAACCCUUUUAAUGAAGACCUAACUCCUCCACCAGAAAUUUAAGUUUAUGUUCUUACUUUGUUUACUUAUAAAAUACAUCUCAGGUAUUUCGGAUGUCUUUUUUUUUUCUAAGCCUAUAUGAAAUGAAAAAUAUAUUGGCAAAAUAAAUGUUUAAACCUUUUACGUUAAAAUUACUUUGAAAGAUGAAAAGUUAGUGCUGUUUUUGUCUACGUUAUACUGAAAUUAAAUGUUUAUAAUUUAUAUUUUGGGUUUAUGUAUAAAUCAUGGAAUUUAUGCAAAAAUAUGAGUAGUACAGAUUCUCCUCUAAUUCUGUAGGACUUUGAAUAAUGUGAUAUUUUUCUUAUAAUUGGACCCUUGUGUUUUGAAGAAAUGCCAACUGCUUGAAGAAUCUCCUUGUUAUUUGUAUUAUUUGCUAUAGGGUUAGAUGUUGAGAAAUUCUGCUGACAAAAAAUUUUAAGCCAGUUUUACACUAAAUGUUCCUCAGUCUGAUUAAUUUGUUAUUGGAUGUAUUCUGUAUCUUUCUUUUGUAAUUUGUAACUUUUAUCCACUUAGCACGAAUGAUUCUAUUAAAGAAAAUCAUUAGGAAGUGGUAGAAACUUUAAAUCGCCCCAGAGUUUGCCUGUUUCCAUAUUUUAUUAUCUUAUAAUCUUCGGGAGUGCUUACACUUAUGGAGCUAACAUUUUCAGAGAUACAGCUUCUUAUAGUAACACUAAAACUUUCUUCCUCUUUGGACUGAAUACCUAUAAUUAUAACUAUAUGGUAGUUUAAGUUUCCUUGUGAUUAGUCAAAAAUACCAUUUUAGUAUGAAGCAAUGAAGUCUAUUAUUUGUUGUCCCAUAAUUGAGAAAGCUUAAAUACACCUUUUAUUAAGAGUUUGUAAAUUCUAGCUUAGUCUACACAGAUUUUUAUAUCAAUUUGUUUAUAUUUUUAUUAAUGUCAUUUCUGGAAGUGUGAAAAUGUUAAUGUUCAACAAGCAACAUUAAAAAUAGAUUUGAAACAUU
ensembl:lncRNA DLEU2 deleted in lymphocytic leukemia 2